rnacentral:rRNA from 1 species
AUACGAACGGGGCUAGCGUUGUUCGGAUUUACUGGGCGUAAAGCGCACGUAGGCGGAUUGAUUAGUUAGGGGUGAAAUCCCGAGGCUCAACCUCGGAACUGCCUCUAAAACUGUCAAUCUCGAGACCGGAAGAGGUGAGUGGAACUCCUAGUGUAGAGGUGGAAUUCGUAGAUAUUAGGAAGAACACCAGUGGCGAAGGCGGCUCACUGGUCCGGUACUGACGCUGAGGUGCGAAAGCGUGGGGAGCGAACAGGAUUAGAAACCCUAGUAGUCC